rnacentral:lncRNA from 1 species
GUAAGCCUCAAAAUGACCCUAUGAUGUUGGGCCCACUGUGAUCUUUAUUUUCUAGGUGGGGAACAAAGAGCUUGAGAGAUUUAUACCCCAGCCCAAGAUCCACAGUCAUUAAAUGGCAGGGCUCUAGUUCAAAUCCAGGUCAGUGUGAUUCCAGAGCUCACAGUCUCACCACUACUCUCUUCUAGAAUUUACAGUCUUCAUGCUUUGCUCUUCUCUCCUUCCCUCUCAAGACUGCAAUCAUGGAGCUGAUAGACUUAUUUUCACCAAAACAUAAAUGAUGGGCACAGCUUAUUAUGUUUUUUUUCUGGAUGCAUUUUGAAAUGACCAUUGGAUGUACUUCUUUUGCAUUUUUAUUGUGAAAUACAGAACCAGUUUUGGCACUUUAUAUAAGACUCCUUCCCUAUUGCUUCGACUAUAGUUAGUAUUUUCUAGGUUGGCUGUAGGGAUUGUUCCCUGAAGCUUAUAUACCUCACCACGCGUUGACGACUCCCCCAGGUCAAUAGAAUCCACUAGGUGGCGCCCAGGUCUACUGCCGCGUCUCGUCUCCGCUGGGCGCAAAUCUUGGAACAGCUGUGGAUGUUCGAGGAGUGGUUGGAGAGAUCAAUAUGAUCCAUGUGGAGCAGCUUCCCUACCGUCUGCUCCAAAAGGCUGUAAGCCUGGUGUCCUUCAAACUGUUACUGUAAUGAAAUACCCGAAUAUGGACAAUGAUGGUGUGGUUUUGAGUACGAGAAAGCCUGCGGUUUUGCUUCGUGAGACUUAAAGACGAGCAGGCAGACAGGCAUCCAUCCAGCUGCAGUUCAUAGCCGAUGCCCCCGACAAGUAGCAGGCUGGCGACUGAGAAGCUCCCCAGAAGCUACCUUUAAUGCCCAAAGAUUGAUUUAGGCAAUGACACUGCAAUGUACGGAAGGGGAAAAAGGGACGAGAGGAAGGUAUCAAAAAGAGGGAGAUUAUUUCAAUAUUAACUUGAGUGCAGGCAUAAUUCGCUCUCAUUUCUGGCAGGCAAUUGAGCACUCUGCUUCAUAUGCAAAAUCGAGGGUACAUUCUGAUGUAGAUUUCAGAUAGCGGGAAAUGAAGGUAUUUUGUUUUUCUUUUAAAUUGCAUUGGGCAAUUUCCUUUCUUAUAUGAAACGCUGUAGGCUUUGUACAAUUAUUUUAUACGUUAUUACCAUUCUUCUAAAAAGGGACAGCUUUUUUCUUUCCAAUUUAAAGUAGUGGAUAAUGACUUUGGCAGCAUUUUCCUGCCUUUUUCAAGUUUAUGGAACCCAUUCCUCAUCAUUAGGCUGAAGAUGCAGAUAAGAAAGGACGAGCCUUUUUCUGGAGCUUGUCACAUCAAUGUUGCUUCUUAGGUGAUUAAAAAGAAAGCAGCGAGGAUCUUGGAGAAAACGUCUGACAAAAGCUGAAUACAGACAAUAUGGAGGCCUCAGGCUCAGAGGAUGGCAGAGUCUUCAGAUGGAUGGAGGGAGCUGCAGUCACUGAACCACUGCAGGGAGAGAAGUACUCACAGACCAGGAACGCUCAACUUGGACUGUUAUGUGACAGAGUAAUAAUAAACUUCUAUUUUGGUUUGAGUAAUGUUGUGUUUUGGGUUUAUCUGUUUCUGC